UGCGAGGUAGAGGAAUUGGUCAACUCAUCAGGCUAUCGACCUAAAAAUUACAAGUUCGAAUUCUGUCCCCGCCU
rnacentral:tRNA from 1 species